UACGAAGGGUGCAAGCGUUACUCGGAAUUACUGGGCGUAAAGCGUGCGUAGGUGGUUCGUUAAGUCUGAUGUGAAAGCCCUGGGCUCAACCUGGGAAUGGCAUUGGAAACUGGCGACCUAGAGUGCGGUAGAGGGUAGUGGAAUUCCCGGUGUAGCAGUGAAAUGCGUAGAGAUCGGGAGGAACAUCUGUGGCGAAGGCGGCAUCCUGGACCGGUAUUGACGCUGAGGCGCGAAAGCUAGGGGAGCAAACGGG
rnacentral:rRNA from 1 species